rnacentral:rRNA from 1 species
AAUAUUGGACAAUGGUCGAAAGCCUGAUCCAGCCAUGCCGCGUGUGUGAAGAAGGUCUUCGGAUUGUAAAGCACUUUAAGUUGGGAGGAAGGGCUUUAGGUUAAUACCCUGAAGUCUUGACGGUACCAUCGUAAUAAGCAACGGCUAACCUUGUGCAAGUAGCCGCGGUAAUACAGAGGGUGCAAGCGUUCAUCGGAAUUACUGGGCGAAAGGCGCGCGUAGGUAGUUCAAUAAGAUGGGUGUGAAAUCCCCGGGCUUAACCUGGGAACUGCUUUCAUAACUGCUGGGCUGGAGUACGGUAGAGGGUAGUGGAAUUUCCUGUGUAGCGGUGAAAUGCGUAGAUAUAGGAAGGAACACCAGUGGCGAAGGCGACUACCUGGACUGAUACUGACACUGAGGUGCGAAAGCGUGGGGAGCAAAC